rnacentral:rRNA from 1 species
UGGGGAAUUUUGGACAAUGGGGGCAACCCUGAUCCAGCAAUGCCGCGUGCAGGAAGAAGGCCUUCGGGUUGUAAACUGCUUUUGUACGGAACGAAACGGCUCUGGUUAAUACCCGGGGCUAAUGACGGUACCGUAAGAAUAAGCACCGGCUAACUACGUGCCAGCAGCCGCGGUAAUACGUAGGGUGCAAGCGUUAAUCGGAAUUACUGGGCGUAAAGCGUGCGCAGGCGGUGCUGUAAGACAGGCGUGAAAUCCCCGGGCUUAACCUGGGAAUGGCGCUUGUGACUGCAGUGCUGGAGUGCGGCAGAGGGGGAUGGAAUUCCGCGUGUAGCAGUGAAAUGCGUAGAUAUGCGGAGGAACACCGAUGGCGAAGGCAAUCCCCUGGGCCUGCACUGACGCUCAUGCACGAAAGCGUGGGGAGCAAACAGG